GAGUAGCUCAAUUGGUAGAGCACCGGUCUCCAAAACCGGCGGUUGCGGGUUCAAUUCCUGCCUCACCU
rnacentral:tRNA from 1 species